ACAGCCAUAUAGCGUUGAAACAUCGGUUCCCGUAUGAUCACCGAAGUUAAACAACGUCGAGUUGGUCAGUACCGAGAGGGGUAACCGCUUGGUAAUACCAGGUGCUGUAAG